rnacentral:rRNA from 1 species
CCUACGGGAGGCAGCAGUGGGGAAUAUUGGACAAUGGGCGAAAGCCUGAUCCAGCAAUGCCGCGUGUGUGAAGAAGGCCUUCGGGUUGUAAAGCACUUUAAGUUGGGAAGAAAAAGCUCUGGCUAAUAUCUAGAGCCUUGACGGUACCAACAGAAUAAGCACCGGCUAACUCUGUGCCAGCAGCCGCGGUAAUACAGAGGGUGCUAGCGUUAAUCGGAUUUACUGGGCGUAAAGCGUGCGUAGGCGGUUUGAUAAGUCGAUUGUGAAAGCCCCGGGCUUAACCUGGGAAUUGCAGUUGAUACUGUCAGACUAGAAAACGGUAGAGGGAGGCGGAACUCCAGGUGUAGCGGUGAAAUGCGUAGAUAUCUGGAAGAACACCGAUGGCGAAGGCAACCUCCUGGGCCUGUUUUGACGCUGAGGCACGAAAGCGUGGGUAGCAAACAGGAUUAGAUACCCUGGUAGUCCACGCCGUAAACGAUGAGAACUUGACGUUGGUUUGCUUAGCAAAUCGGUGUCGUAGCUAACGCGAUAAGUUCUCCGCCUGGGGGAGGUACGGCCGCGAGUAGAACGACAANAGAGUAGACGGCGUGAGACGUGACCGACGGACGACGACGAGGGAGGAGG